UACGUAGGGGGCAAGCGUUGUCCGGAUUCAUUGGGCGUAAAGAGCGUGUAGGCGGCCAGGUAGGUCGGUUGUGAAAACUGGAGGCUCAACCUUCAGAGGUCGACCGAAACCAUCUGGCUAGAGUCCGGGAGAGGAGAGUGGAAUUCCUGGUGUAGCGGUGGAAUUCGUAGAUAUUAGGAAGAACACCAGUGGCGAAGGCGGCUCACUGGUCCGGUACUGACGCUGAGGUGCGAAAGCGUGGGGAGCAAACAGG
rnacentral:rRNA from 1 species